rnacentral:rRNA from 1 species
UACGUAGGGUGCAAGCGUUAAUCGGAAUUACUGGGCGUAAAGCGUGCGCAGGCGGUUAUGCAAGACAGAUGUGAAAUCCCCCGGGCUCAACCUGGGGAACUGCAUUUGUGACUGCAUGGCUAGAGUACGGUAGAGGGGGAUGGAAUUCCGCGUGUAGCAGUGAAAUGCGUAGAUAUGCGGAGGAACACCGAUGGCGAAGGCAAUCCCCUGGACCUGUACUGACGCUCAUGC